GCCAGGGUAGCGCAGUUGGUAAAGCAUGAGACUCCUAAUCUCGAGGUCAUGGGUUCGAACCCCAUGUUGGGCA